rnacentral:pre_miRNA from 1 species
AAUAAACGAAUUUCUGUGUUUUUAUUUAGAAUUUUUGACUCUUCGUCUUAUUUGAAAUUUUUUAUGAUUAAUAUUUUUAUUGUUACUACAUGAUAAAACAUAAAUAGUAUUUUAUGUGUGACUAUUUUUUUCAAUUUUUUAAUUAAUUUUUUAAAUAAGACGGAUGGUCAAACGCUCGAUCUAAAAAACCUAGA